AUGAACGCUGGCGGCGUGCCUAAUACAUGCCAGUCGAGCGAACAGACGAGGAGCUUGCUCCUCUGACGUUAGCGGCGGACGGGUGAGUAACACGUGGAUAACCUACCUAUAAGACUGGGAUAACUUCGGGAAACCGGAGCUAAUACCGGAUAAUAUAUUGAACCGCAUGGUUCAAUAGUGAAAGACGGUUUUGCUGUCACUUAUAGAUGGAUCCGCGCCGCAUUAGCUAGUUGGUAAGGUAACGGCUUACCAAGGCAACGAUGCGUAGCCGACCUGGGAGGGUGAUCGGCCACACUGGAACUGAGACACGGUCCAGACUCCUACGGGAGGCAGCAGUAGGGAAUCUUCCGCAAUGGGCGAAAGCCUGACGGAGCAACGCCGCGUGAGUGAUGAAGGUCUUCGGAUCGUAAAACUCUGUUAUUAGGGAAGAACAAAUGUGUAAGUAACUAUGCACGUCUUGACGGUACCUAAUCAGAAAGCCACGGCUAACUACGUG
rnacentral:rRNA from 1 species